UUUGUUGUUCAUAUAUUAUACCAUAACCAUCAAGUCAUCACUCACCAGUUCAAUUUUAAAUUCACGUUACUUUUCAAAUCACUUGACUUUUGCUCUAAAUACUAAGCACCACCAAGAGGGUCACUUGCUUCCCGUCUUCAUUCGCCGAGCAGUGUGCUUCCUGGUAACUCAGAAUCCCUCAGCCUCGUCCUUUGCGGCGUUGCCGCCUCCGCAAGAAGUGACUAACGCCGAAAAGGUUAGUGAGAGCGCUCAAUUGACAGUGCCCAAUGGGUGUGGAUGCGAGAUUUGCAUUUUUGUUGCAGAAUUUGAGGCUGCAAGAUCCAUGGGUUCCACCAAGCACAUGGGAAUCCAUACCCUCUGAAAGUGGACUCCGCCCCUCGUUUCCUUCUUCCUCCGUCUCAGAUCAAACCCUCUCCGCUCUCUCUGAAUCAAGUCUUGUGAGGCUGGCGACAAAUGCUUUGCAAGGUGUAAAAUCAUCUGUUCUCAGCAUCCAACAACUCUCUGCCUUAUUUUGUUCUGAUCCAGCUGACAGGACCUUCCACCACAUUUCCAGUCUUUGGAAUCGGGCUUCCAGCACUCGAUCUUUGGGAAACUUGCUUACAUCUAUAGGGUCCACCAGCUCUCUAGUUAUUCUUAUCCGUGAAUUUGUAGGUUAUUUUACAAUUAUGAAUCUACAGGACAGUUUUCAAAGUCAAAAUGAUCAAGAGUCCCCUCCUUAUAGUCUUGUUAAUCAAGCCUUUGCAGUUGCUGUGGGAAAGGUCUUGGAAGGGUACCUUUGUGGAUUGGACACGGUUCAUGCAUCUAUAGCUUUAAGACAUUCAUCAAAGGAUGUUGAUGUUGAUGUUGAUUUCCCUGCAUCCGGAUGUUUGAAGAGUGUAGUGCAUUCUGAAAUUACGCUGCUUGAGUUUUACUUGCAUACUAAAGAAUUAAGAACUUGGGUUGAAGCCCUUGCAAGCAUAUGCAACUUACAAAAGUGGGUCCUUCGCUUUUCGGAAAUUUCUCUGGAGGAGGUGAUUACUGAAGCUACGGCUGAGUUUCGUCACUACUACAGAGGAGGAGAUCUAUUGACAUUUUUGUAUGCACAGUUACAGGUUGCUGAUACUGCUCAUUGUACACUUCUCAAGUUUCUCUUUCUUCAAUCAUGUGAACCAUAUUGUGGGUUCAUAAGAUCGUGGAUUUUCAAAGCAGAAAUACAUGACCCAUAUAAGGAGUUUAUUGUAGAAAACAUGGAGUGUUUACCUCCUAAGUCUCAUCUUAAAUCUGGCAAUUCUAUGGACGUUCCAUCGACACAUAUCAGAGUGAGAGAUGAUGUUUCCAUUCCUGAAUUUCUUAAAGACUUCCUGGUUCCACUUGUUAGAGCCGGUCAGCAGCUGCAAGUAUUGUUAAAAUUGGUUGAACUUUGUGUACAUGUUACUUCUGUAGAACAUAGUUCUGAAGACUUUCUUCCUUGCUGGAGUGGCUUUGCUAGUAGUAUUACAUCUUAUUCUUCUCCGUUGACUUUCAGCAGAGAUGUUAUAGAUGUUAUGGUGAUCGCAAGGGAAAACUAUUUUGAAAGGAUGAAUGAAAAAAUUGAUAGCCUACUCAGCAGCUUAGAAAUCAGAUACCAACGGGUAGCUACACAUGCUUCAGUAUCUGUUGAUAAUGUUGGAGGAGAUCUUGACAAACUAGAACAGGUCAUGGAAGAAGAUGAAUCUAUUGUCCGUUCAACAGCAGAUAAAAGAAGUUCAAACAUGGAUGCUGAUAGUAUGGACUCUGAUUCCUCAAGAAGACUUCACGAAUUAUCUUUGUUGGAUGAUAUGUACAGUUCAUCUGAGAGUUUGUCCUUAAAUGGCUCUGAAGAGCAAUUGGAUUCUGAUCAGCAUCAUGACUGGCCUUGUCUCAUAGUUGGGGGACAAAAUCAGUUAUCUGCUUUAAGUUUCUUGAAGGGUACUACCUUGAAUAGUUCAAUACAGGAUUGUUGUCAUCAUGAGAAGCCAGGGAGUGAUUCACAUGGAAUUUGUGAUAAAACAGAUGCCAGUGAUCAUUUGCUAAAGUCUUCCCAUGAGGGAGUGAUAUCAAAUAACAUGUCUAAUCCUCUAAAUUCAGGGAAUUCAAAGUGCCCUUGUGCAUUCAGUAUUCAGUAUAGAUACAGUAUGACUGACAGUUAUUCAGAAAUGGGGAACUUAUUGAAUAACUCAGUUGAUGAUGAUGAAUCAAUUGUGCGAAAGAUAACUGAAAAGCAACCAGGAUCCCUGGGAUACUCCAUAUCAUGCCAUGAUGUUUUUUCCAUUAAGGAUAAUUUUAUUUGGACAACCACAAGUGAGGCUCAACCUGAUAAUAAUUCAUUUACUUCAAAUUUGUAUACUUUACAACUGCAAAAAGUUGGUCAUAAAUAUAAUAUUCCUAAUCUCCUUAGUAUGAAUCCAAUGUUAACAAGAAAUGAGUUGCUUCACUGGAUGGAUGGGAGUGGAGAAAGAUUCAAAGCCAACCAUGAACGUCCUUUCCCCUACGUAAACUUUUCGACAGUGGAGGACCCAUGUAAGGUUUAUAUGGACAAGUUAUUCAUUGGUUCUAGAGCUACAAGUGCAUCUUCAAUUCCAUUGAAUGGUAGUGCAGCCAAUUACGGUAACAAGAAUACUAAAUAUGGUGAAAUGGGAAUUGGUACAGAAGAUGGGCUGGCUGAUAUCCCCAAACAAAAUUUUGGUGCUUCAUUGGACUUGAUGGACCAUAAGCAAGAUGCAGUUGUAUCUGGAGGGAGCACUUGGGAAAGAUUGCUACAUAGUUUUAGUGAUACUAAGAAUUGUGGUGCUAAGCACAGUCACAGUUUUUCACCAGCCUUUGAGAUACCACUUGAUAUUAUACUUGACAAAUGCUUACUGCAGGAAAUCAUGCUUCAAUACAAGUAUGUUAGCAGACUAACCAUCAACGUGCUUGAGGAAGUAUUUGAGUUGCAAGAGCAUCUUUUGGCACUGCGGCGAUAUCAUUUCAUGGAGUUAGCAGACUGGGCAGAUUUGUUCAUCUUGUCUCUUUGGCAUCAUAAGUGGUCUGUUACAGAAGCAAAUGAGAGACUCUCAGAAAUUCAAGGUCUACUUGAGUUGGCCAUUCAGAAGUCUUCUUGUGAACAAGACCCUAAUAAAGAUAGGUUGUUUGUGUACAUGAAAGGACAUGGAAAAUUACCUCUUUCCAAUUCUGCUAUAGGGGUACGCUCUUUCGAUUUCUUAGGACUAGGUUACCGCGUGGAUUGGCCGCUCAGUAUUGUUUUGACACCUGCUGCAUCUAAACUAUAUGCUGAUAUAUUCAACUUUUUGAUACAAGUGAAGCUUGCCAUUUUCUCAUUGACUGAUGUAUGGCGCUCAUUAAAGGAUUUGGUGCAUACAACUGAGAAGGAUCUGAAUUCUGAACUACACCAUGAUGAGACACAACAUCUUAAUAUAUUGACAAUGAUGAGGCAUCAGAUCAACCAUUUUGUAUCUACUUUGCAGCAGUAUGUAGAAUCACAAUUAUCUCGUGUGUCAUGGUGCAAGUUGCUUCAUUCCCUUCAGCAUAAGGUGAAAGAUAUGAUGGAUCUUGAGUCAGUGCAUAUGGAAUAUCUUGCUGAUUCAUUAUGCAUAUGUUUCCUCUCUGAUGAUACAAGGGCAGUAGGCGGCAUUAUUGAAAGCAUUUUGCAAUGUGCUCUUGAUUUCCGAUCUUGUCUUACAGUUGGUGUUUGGAGGACUGGAAGCAGUUGGGAAAAUUUAUCGGGCAAACUUUCCAAAAUCAAUAUACCUCAGAAAAUGGUGCUUUCCAUAAAGCAGAAGUUCGAUAGAAGCCUAAAAGAAUUGCACAAUUGGUAUAUUAAGGAACCUAAACAUGGGAAAUUUGGGCGUCAUUUCUGGGAAUCUCUCGACUAUAAUAAAUAUUAUUCACAUGUCAUCAAUGAAAUGGGGCAGUAUGGAAUCUGAAGUUCGUCAGCAGUUUCGAUGAAUUGAUGGCUAUGUACUAUUAACCGAGGAGUAGAAGCUAGCCCGAAGAGUUUUUGCCCUCUGUGUGGCUGGGUGUUUUCAAAAUCCUCUCAGCAUUUCCAAGAUACAAUUGAUAUGGAUAUCUGGAAUGGAUAUAUGGUAAUUGGUAAGUGCCUAGACUGAUAAUGAAGGCAACGAAGACGCAUUUGCCCUGAUGAAUUUGCAGACAGCACGGCAGUACAAUUGAACUGUGAUGAUUUCGGUUGAAUUUGAUGAUACAAUGCAUUGGAUGACAAGCAAAUGAGGCACUGAAGGACUGCAAAGGCACUGAGGAACCAAGAAUGAAUGAGAAGCGGAGAGAGUGAGGAUCGGGAAGAAGAGAGGGGAGGAAGGGACAGUGCUGGCGGAGUUGGGAGUUGCCGUUGUCGUCGUUGUUGCGGAUUAGGAAGAGAGAGGGAGAAGGAGAUCGAAGGAGGGAAUAGGGGAAGGAGAAAGGAAGAAACGCGAGAGAGGUGGUGCUGUCUCGCCGUCGCCUCUGGAGACCGUUCCUGACUUCGCCGGAGCUUCCACUGCCGUCAUCGAGGACUCCAUUGCUGCCACAAGAAGCCAUCGCAUGUGUAAGAGAAAGACGCGAUGUAUAGAAUAGAGGAAGGGGACAACAUCUCGUCGCUGCCGGGCCUUGUCGCUGUCGCUGGAACGGAGCUUUGUUGUCGCCGGAAGGGAGCUUUGUUGUCGUCGUCGCGGCGUACGGGGCUUUGAAGAGAAAGUGAGGAGCUUGUAGAGGAGAGAGAAACGCGAUGGCCAGUGAGAGAAGGAGAGUCCCGCGAGGAGGGAUGAGCUGGUACGCCUUCGCCGUUGCUGCAGGCUGCACCACCACGCCUCUGGUCGUCGGGAACGGCGCUGACGUGACCGGAAGUCACCGUUGGAAACUUUGCAAUUGCCCUAGCUCCACUUUGCUUUUGCCGAUUCUGUUCUUGCCGGUGAGGGUCAUCGGAGAUGCUGAUGCUCCAUCCCCUUUUUCUUUGGUAAGACUAAUCUUGUUCUGCCUUGUCUUGCCAUAAAGCUCUAUUAUUGAUUUGCCAUAAAGCUUUAUUAUUGACUUUGUCCUAUCCUGCUUGAUGUCCCUUUCUACCUUUGCUCAAUUUUAAACUACCGUAGGGUGUUGGAUUCGCUGCCAUUGUUAUCGUGGUUGCCCCAUGUUGUUGCUACUGGGGUGGUUGUUGAUGUUGCUGUAGUGAGAAUUGAAGUUGUUGCUACUAUCUCGAUCCAAAUUUUGUGCUCUUU